GAUGAACGCUAGCGGCAGGCUUAACACAUGCAAGUCGAGGGGUAUGCCGAUUUAUCGGCAGAGACCGGCGCACGGGUGCGUAACGCGUAUGCAAUCUACCUUUCACAGAGGAUAGCCCAGAGAAAUUUGGAUUAAUACCUCAUAGUAUAGCGGUUUCGCAUGAAACCACUAUUAAAGUUCCAACGGUGAAGAUGAGCAUGCGUCCCAUUAGCUAGAUGGUAAGGUAACGGCUUACCAUGGCUACGAUGGGUAGGGGUCCUGAGAGGGAGAUCCCCCACACUGGUACUGAGACACGGACCAGACUCCUACGGGAGGCAGCAGUGAGGAAUAUUGGUCAAUGGACGCAAGUCUGAACCAGCCAUGCCGCGUGCAGGAUGACGGUCCUAUGGAUUGUAAACUGCUUUUGUACGAGAAGAAACACAUUACGUGUAAUGUCUUGACGGUAUACGUAAGAAUAAGGAUCGG
rnacentral:rRNA from 1 species